rnacentral:rRNA from 1 species
UACGUAGGUGGCAAGCGUUGUCCGGAUUUACUGGGCGUAAAGGAUGCGUAGGCGGAUGUUUAAGUGAGAUGUGAAAUACCCGAGCUCAACUUGGGUGCUGCAUUUCAAACUGGAUAUCUAGAGUGCAGGAGAGGAAAGCGGAAUUCCUAGUUGUAGCGGUGAAAUGCGUAGAGAUUAGGAAGAACACCAGUGGCGAAGGCGGCUUUCUGGACGUGUAACAUGACGCUGAGGCAUGAAAGCGUGGGGAGCAAACAGG